rnacentral:rRNA from 1 species
AGAGUUUGAUCAUGGCUCAGGAUGAACGCUAGCGGCAGGCUUAACACAUGCAAGUCGAGGGGCAUCGCGGUUCCGGCACGGGACCGGCGGCGACCGGCAUACGGGUGCGUAACGCGUGAGCGACAUUCCCGGGACCGGGGUAUAACCGACGGAAACGUCGCCUAAUCCCCCGUAACACCAUCGGGCGCAUGCCCUUUGGUUGAAAGCUCCGGCGGCCCGGAUUGGCUCGCGUCCCAUUAGGCGGAUGGCGGGGUAACGGCCCACCAUACCUACGAUGGGUAGGGGUUCUGAGAGGAAGGUCCCCCACAAUGGAACUGAGACACGGUCCAUACUCCUACGGGAGGCAGCAGUGAGGAAUAUUGGUCAAUGGGCGGAAGCCUGAACCAGCCAUGCCGCGUGCGGGACGACGGCCCUACGGGUUGUAAAUUUUUUUUGCAGGGGAGCAAUAAGGGGGUUUCGUACCCCCAAAGAGGGUACCCUGCGAAUCAGCACCGGCUAACUCCGUGCCAGCAGCCGCGGUAAUACGGAGGGUGCGAGCGUUAUCCGGAUUUAUUGGGUUUAAAGGGUGCGUAGGCUGUGCGUCAAGUCAGGGGUGAAAUUCCGUCGCUCAACGUCGGGUGUGCCCUUGAUACUGGCGUGCUGGAGUACGGAUGCCGCCGGAGGAAUGAGUGGCGUAGCGGUGAAAUGCAUAGAUAUCACUCAGAACACCGAUUGCGAAGGCAUCUGGCGAAUCCGUCACUGACGCUGAUGCACGAAAGCGUGGGGAUAAAACAGGAUUAGAUAC